rnacentral:rRNA from 1 species
AUGCUGCGAGCUGUUGUUGGGUGUAUUAAUCUGAUGGAGGCUUCUGGAAGAUUCCUUCUGACUCGCGCGCAGUCAGAUGUUGGCUCAGUACCACUUCUCACCGACACUUUUGCUGCUGUAAGACGCCCAAAUCCAGCUGCUUUGGUGAUAUUGCCUCAAUACAGUCCAGUACGCAUUAUGAACACUGAAGUCCUGGUUUGUGGUGUUUUGCUUUCUGUGAGUGUGAAGUGCAAGCGGGACAAUAUCUGCCAAAAUUUGUAUGCACGCAUCUACGAUUGUUCAUUUUGUAUACACGGAUAG